rnacentral:lncRNA from 1 species
UGGCUGCUGCUGCCGUUGCCGGGAGCUGGAAGAGGGCUGGGGCUGGGCCUGGGCCGACUGUGGGGUGGUGCUGGCCUGGAGCUGGUGGUACUGAGGGGUGGUGAUGGGCUGGCUUGGGGUCGCGUAGGAGUAGCUAGGGGUCAUUAGUGGUGUGGCCACUGGCUGCUGGGCUGGCGUUGGGAAUACGUGGUAAGCACUGCUGCCGCCUCCACUGCCGCCAUAGCCGUACUGGCUGGAGGCCCACUGGGCUGGGGUGGCAUUAGGGUUCUGUCCUUGGCCUGUCACCGCAGCAAUGGCACUGAACAUCUGUGAAGUCAUGUUCUGAGGCAGGGCAUUCACAGCCCGUGUCAGAUCUGUAAGCACACAGAGGUGGGGAGGGGCAUGUUAGAGGUGAAAGUCCCUUUAGCUCCAUCCUUCCCACCUCCAGUCCCAGGCUC